CGGGUCCUACGGGGGGCAGCAGUGGGGAAUAUUGCACAAUGGGGGAAACCCUGAUGCAGCGACGCCGCGUGAGUGAAGAAGUAUUUCGGUAUGUAAAGCUCUGUCAGCAGGGAAGAAAAUGACGGUACCUGACCAAGAAGCCCCGGCUAACUACGUGCCAGCAGCCGCGGUAAUACGUAGGGGGCAAGCGUUAUCCGGAUUUACUGGGUGUAAAGGGAGCGUAGACGGCUGCGCAAGUCAGAAGUGAAAGCCCGGGGCUCAACCGCGGGACUGCUUUUGAAACUGUGUAGCUAGAGUGCAGGAGG
rnacentral:rRNA from 1 species